rnacentral:rRNA from 1 species
GACGAACGCUGGCGGCGUGCCUAAUACAUGCAAGUUGAGCGCUGAAGGUUGGUACUUGUACCAACUGGAUGAGCAGCGAACGGGUGAGUAACGCGUGGGGAAUCUGCCUUUGAGCGGGGGACAACAUUUGGAAACGAAUGCUAAUACCGCAUAAAAACUUUAAACACAAGUUUUAAGUUUGAAAGAUGCAAUUGCAUCACUCAAAGAUGAUCCCGCGUUGUAUUAGCUAGUUGGUGAGGUAAAGGCUCACCAAGGCGAAGAUACAUAGCCGACCUGAGAGGGUGAUCGGCCACAUUGGAACUGAGACACGGCCCAAACUCCUACGGGAGGCAGCAGUAGGGAAUCUUCGGCAAUGGACGAAAGUCUGACCGCGCAACGCCGCGUGAGUGAAGAAGGUUUUCGGAUCGUAAAACUCUGUUGGUAGAGAAGAACGUUGGUGAGAGUGGAAAGCUCAUCAAGUGACGGUAACUACCCAGAAAGGGACGGCUAACUACGUG